rnacentral:rRNA from 1 species
ACGAACGCUGGCGGCGUGCUUAACACAUGCAAGUCGCACGGAAAGGCCCUGCUUUUGUGGGGUGCUCGAGUGGCGAACGGGUGAGUAACACGUGAGUAACCUGCCCUUGACUUUGGGAUAACUUCAGGAAACUGGGGCUAAUACCGGAUAGGAGCUCCUGCUGCAUGGUGGGGGUUGGAAAGUUUCGGCGGUUGGGGAUGGACUCGCGGCUUAUCAGCUUGUUGGUGGGGUAGUGGCUACCAAGGCUUUGACGGGUAGCCGGCCUGAGAGGGUGACCGGCCACAUUGGGACUGAGAUACGGCCCAGACUCCUACGGGAGGCAGCAGUGGGGAAUAUUGCACAAUGGGCGGAAGCCUGAUGCAGCAACGCCGCGUGCGGGAUGACGGCCUUCGGGUUGUAAACCGCUUUCGCCUGUGACGAAGCGUGAGUGACGGUAAUGGGUAAAGAAGCACCGGCUAACUACGUG